GCACCUAAAGCAACUACAAAAGUUCAAAUUAAUAACUAAGUUUGCGAGAGCCACGGAAAGUUCAAUUGAUGGCACACCACGAUUUUUUAAAGAGUUAAAAUUAAUUAAAUGAGGACCAUGGUUUUUGGGAUUUUAUUCGGCAUGGCACACCUCAAGUCUAUUUCUUCAAAUGAUUUCUAGUCUUACAAGGGCCAUAGGGGAUUUAAUUAAAUGGAGCGCCUCAAAUUAAUUAAAGGAAUCUAAUUAACUAAAGAAGACUAAGGGAAAUUGAAUUUAUUUUAAGCAAAUGUUCAAAUUAACUCAACAAUUAUUGGGCUAGUAUCGAAAGAAAUCGGGUACUUGGUUGUUUUAAAGGCCUAAAUUGGCAGCAAGUCCAAAUGUCUUUUGGAAAGCUUCCAUAACAAGGCAAAAGGGCAACUGGGCUCGAACACAAGCCCAAAUGGAUUGUAAGGCCGCAAAUCUUCCCAUUUCGAAGCGGCCUCAAAGUCCAGGCCCAAAGGGGACCCAAACCUCAUGAAAAGCCCAGACUGAGAAGCAUGAGACUCGAGAUCGAGUCCUCACCAAAACGUGAGCAAUACUUGAAACGAAAUGAUACCACUGAGCCCCACUUGACUUUCAUCAGUACACGACAAUAUGACACAAAAGAGGAAAAAAAUUAAAUGUUAUCAUAGCAUACUACAUGCCUAUGAGUAAUAUUAUUUUGAAUUGAAUUGCACUAGUGACAUGAGAAACGAAGCUAUUCAGUAUUCAUAUUUAAAUAAGUCCCAAGCUAGCUUAUAAAUGAUUGUAUGAAAUUUAAACCCCAAUCGAAACCUCUCCAAUACAAGCAGUAGCAAAGUCCCAUGAGAUUAAUAUGCAAACUAACUGGAAUCUAGAAAUCACAUAAAAACUCUUAGCAGAAUCAAACGCAAGCCAGAAGCAAUUCACCUUAUACCAUAUCACCAAUAUGAGAAGGCUAAUAUAAGAUGCAUAAGAUUAAACUAUUACAACAUAUGAACGAAAUGGAAGAAUCAGGGAAAUAAAACUCAAUAAAUAGCUUGUAUUCAUCAUGUUUCACAUUUGAAUUGCAUGUUUACACUUCAUAUGCUAUCCAUAGCUCAAGAAAUAGCCGGAAAUCAAGAAAAAGGCAAUGAGAGUGAGGGAUUAGCAAUAGCAAUAAGUCAAGCUCAGUAACUUAGCAAACCCAAGCUUCUUUCAAACCAAUUUAAACCCAGAUGAGCCCAGUUCUUUGGAGCUUUUUAGAAAUUCUGACUGACAAGGAACUCAAAGAACAAAACCAAACAGGUUUACAACAAUUUUCAGUAUUUUAGAGUCUAAAAGAAGCUCAGCCGUUUCUAAAUUUUUCAGUCUGAUAGUCUCUCUUGAAAAUGAAGGAAGACAAGCCUCUUAUAGAGGACCUUUGGGGCAGCAGAAAUGGUUUUUAAUUUUACCAAAUACCCUUUCCCCAAUUUUCAUUUUUUCAAUUUAGAUCCUGAUCUUUGGUUCUGUUUGUUAAAAUUAAACCCCAACCUCACCUUCCUAGCAGCUUCCUAGGCAGUUACACAAGAUUCUUUCAAUCAAAAUUCCCCAAAUACCCUUUAAAUUCCUAUUAUUACCCUUCCUAGCCUGAGCCAAAGCAGGCUGCCUGAAUCCCAAACCUGGGCCUAAACAAAUGGUCUUCUAAUGAGCCAAGUCUGGACUACCACAUACCUAAGAGGAGGCUUCCAAAUUAGCAAAGUAAUGAACACCAAAACCCAAACGAAAUUCGAAUUAACAGCAAACAAGAGUUUAACCAUUUAGGAUCUAGCAGCACUGAUUAACUAGGGAAAAGAAGAAGAGGGGAGAAGGAACCUACUAGACCUAUUGGGAUCAUUAACAGAGUUCUAAUUUAAUCAGAGGAAAAACAAAAAUAAAGAAGAAGGAAUUAACCUGCUCUCAUAAAUAACAAACUUAUCAAGUCAAAUAAAUAACCCCAAACAAAAUCAAACGAACAACUUUUAAAAUUGGAAAAAGAAACUGGAAAACAACCGGAACAAAUACGACAACAGAGGCGGGUAUAGAGAAAGAAAAUACCUAUUGACUAUCUUGAUGAACUCCGACCGCUUUGAUUUAAACCCAAACUAAUGUUAACCACUUGUUUUUUGCCAAGAACCGACGACUAACAUCUAUUUCAGUUAAAUCGACCUUCGAAACUCGAAAACUUGAAAACCUAAACCUUGCAUGUUAAAGAUCUGGGGUAAGGCGAUAUGGGGUUUAGGGCUUGGAUCUGAGAUCUGAAAUUCGAGCAAAGGCAGAAGGAUUCAAGGGAAAAUGUUUUGGGUUUUGGGAAGAGUGGAGGUCAGGGAUCAUGCGGUGUAGUUUUGGAGGCAGUUUGGGGUGGCGCCGCCACCGGAGAGGGUGAGGAGUGUUAGGGCGGCGCUUAGGGUUCUUAUGUCUCUGAAGGUGGAAAUGAAAAUUGAAGG
rnacentral:lncRNA from 1 species